GUGGUCAGGGUGGUGUAUGUAGCUGCUGCAGGCUAGGAGGGACAACGGAACGGACAGUGUGGUCAGGGUGGUGUAUGUAGCUGCUGCAGGCUAGGAGGGACAACGGAACGGACAGUGUGGUCAGGGUGGUGUAUGUAGCUGCUGCAGGCUAGGAGGGACAACGGAACGGACAGUGUGGUCAGGGUGGUGUAUGUAGCUGCUGCAGGCUAGGAGGGACAACGGAACGGACAGUGUGGUCAGGGUGGUGUAUGUAGCUGCUGCAGACUAGGAGGGACAACGGAACGGACAGUGUGGUCAGGGUGGUGUAUGUAGCUGCUGCAGGCUAGGAGGGACAACGGAACGGACAGAGCCUCACCUGUUUUCUUUUCC